rnacentral:rRNA from 1 species
UCCGGUUGAUCCUGCCGGACCCGACUGCUAUCAGAGUGGGACUAAGCCAUGCGAGUCAACAUAGCAAUAUGUGGCAUACGGCUCAGUAACACGUAGUCAACAUGCCCAGGGGACGUGGAUAACCUCGGGAAACUGAGGAUAAACUGCGAUAAGUCACUACUUCUGGAAUGGGUAAUGACUUAAAUCUAUAUGGCCCCUGGAUUGGACUGCGGCCGAUCAGGCUGUUGGUGAGGUAAUGGCCCACCAAACCUGUAACCGGUACGGGCUCUGAGAGGAGGAGCCCGGAGAUGGGCACUGAGACAAGGGCCCGGGCCCUAUGGGGCGCAGCAGGCGCGAAACCUCUGCAAUAGGCGAAAGCCUGACAGGGUUACUCUGAGUGAUUUCCGUUAAGGAGAUCUUUUGGCACCUCUAAAAAUGGUGCAGAAUAAGGGGUGGGCAAGUCUGGUGUCAGCCGCCGCGGUAAUACCAGCACCCCGAGUGGUCGGGACGUUUAUUGGGCCUAAAGCAUCCGUAGCCGGUUCUGCAAGUCUUCCGUUAAAUCCACCUGCYUAACAGAUGGGCUGCGGAAGAUACUAUAGAGCUAGGAGGCGGGAGAGGCAAGCGGUACUCGAUGGGUAGGGGUAAAAUCCGUUGAUCCAUUGAAGACCACCAGUGGCGAAGGCGGCUUGCCAGAACGCGCUCGACGGUGAGGGAUGAAAGCUGGGGGAGCAAACCGGAUUAGAUACCCGGGUAGUCCCAGCUGUAAACGAUGCAGACUCGGUGACGAAUUGGCUUCAUGCCAAUUCAGUGCCGCAGGGAAGCCGUUAAGUUUGCCGCCUGGGGAGUACGGUCGCAAGACUGAAACUUAAAGGAAUUGGCGGGGGAGCACCACAASGGGUGAAGCCUGCGGUUCAAUUGGAGUCAACGCCGGAAAUCUUACCGGGGGCGACAGCAGAAUGAAGGUCAAGCUGAAGACUUUACCAGACAAGCUGAGAGGAGGUGCAUGGCCGUCGCCAGCUCGUGCCGUGAGGUGUCCUGUUAAGUCAGGUAACGAGCGAGACCCCUGCCUCUAGUUGCUACCAUCAUUCUCAGGAGUAGUGGAGCUAAUUAGAGGGACUGCCGUCGCUGAGACGGAGGAAGGAGGGGGCUACGGCAGGUCAGUAUGCCCCGAAACCCUCGGGCCACACGCGGGCUGCAAUGGUAAGGACAAUGAGUAUCGAUUCCGAAAGGAGGAGGCAAUCUCUAAACCUUACCACAGUUAUGAUUGAGGGCUGAAACUCGCCCUCAUGAAUAUGGAAUCCCUAGUAACCGCGUGUCACUAUCGCGCGGUGAAUACGUCCCUGCUCCUUGCACACACCGCCCGUCGCUUCAUCGAAGUUGGUUCUUGGCGAGGUGAUGCCUAAUUGGUACUAUCGAACCUGGGGUCAGCAACGAGGGAG